AGAACGUCGUGAGACAGUUCGGUCCCUAUCCGCCGUAGCCGUAGGAGAUUUGAGGAAGGCUGUCCCUAGUACGAGAGGACCGGGACGGACGCAGCUCUCGUGUGCCAGUUGUCCUGCCAAGGGCACUGCUGGUUAGCGACCUGCGGAAGGGAUAAGCGCUGAAAGCAUCUAAGCGCGAAGCUCGUUCCAAGAUGAGAUCUCCCACUGGGUAACCAGGUAAGGCCCGUGGCCAGACGACCACGUUGAUAGGCCGGAGGUGUACGCACGGCAACGUGUUCAGCCGACCGGUACUAAUCGGCCGAGGGCUUGAAUCAA
rnacentral:rRNA from 1 species